UGAAGAACGUAGCGAAAUGCGAUACGUAAUGUGAAUUGCAGAAUUCAGUGAAUCAUCGAAUCUUUGAACGCAUAUUGCGCUCUCUGGUAUUCCGGAGAGCAUGCUUGUUUGAGUAUCAGUAAACACCUCAACUUCCAUAUCUUUUUUGAAAUGGGAGUUGGACUUGAGUGAUCCCAACGCUUUUCCUCACCGAAAAGUGGCGGGUUACUUGAAAUGCAGGUGCAGCUGGACUUUUCUCUGAGCUAUAAGCAUAUCUAUUUAGUCUGCCUAAAAAACAGAUUAUUACCUUUGCUGCAGCUAACAUAAAGGAGAUUAGUUCUUGUGCUGACUGAUGCAGGAUUCACAAAGACGGCUUCGGCCGACUUUGUAAACUCGAUCUCAAAUCAAGUAAGACUACCCGCUGAACUUAAGCAUAUCAAUAAGCGGAGGA
rnacentral:misc_RNA from 1 species